GGACUCAAGUGAUCCUCCAGCCUUGGCCUCCCAAAGUGCUGGGACUACAGGAAUCAGCCACUGCACCUGGCCUUGAAUUCCAUUAAAUGGGCUACUCUAAUUUAACUAGUACUUUAUUGACAGAAUAAACUGAGGUAGAGGGUUUUGCAACCAAUCCAAGUGUCAGAGCUGGUAAGCCACAGAUCCAGGAUUUCAACUCAGGUGGUCUAACUCCAGAGACUGCUUGAUUACUCUACACUCUACUGUCCUCCCUGUACAAUAAAGUUCACUUCAGGUC